ensembl:lncRNA
GCUGUUUGUAUAAGCAAUUCUUUAUUCAUUAAAUACUGCAUCCAUGGUGAUUGGAUGGUACAUGGAAGACAAUCUUCAGAGGCAUGUAAAUACACCAGGAAACUCUCCAACACAAAACCAUCAUUAUUACAGGUUAUGGGAUUCUCUUCACUGUUGCAGCCUGAACUCAUGAUCAUCAUAAAGACGUACGUAUAGUUCACAGUCAGUGCAGUGCGGGGAGUUAGUAAAAGUUGCCCAGUAUUAUUAAACACAAUGUCAUGACUUGCAAGACUGUUGUGGAGCUCUGGUUAAGUUUUUUAUUGUUAUGUUCACCAUGAAAUGUAAAACAUUAGGUAGAACUGGCUGAUCGUGGUCUUAAUUAGUGACACUAUGAUGUUACAGAAGGUGUGAUUAAAACAAUGAUUUGCAUUUACGUCGUCCAGUCUGCUGCAUCUGGCACAUGUGAAGAACACAGUUCAUGUCCAGGAUUUUAUAUGAAAGUCAUCCAAGUAAUUCGAUUAGUAACUGGUUUGCAUCAUAUUUAUUACUUAGAAUGAGACACACCAACAGAAGGGUCGGAGCUAAGAGGCUCCUUUAGCUCUCAGUUUAGACAGCAGCAUCUCAUUCUUCCGACACUCCUAGUGGGGAAAAAAGUUAUUAUUGUUACAUGAUCAUUACACUCAGAGGGUCAUUGUUGAAAAUUAUUAUAGCACAUUUCCUGAAAUACAGAUUAUGGACCUCAACAGCAGAAAGUAACAAGCCUUUAUUUAAGGCAGACCUAUAGUAGAAACUAGGAUGCAAUGAUCAUUUUUCAGUAUAAAGCCUAAUCUCAAUCCACUCAAUCGUGACCUGUGAUUUACUGCAAAGCAUUUUUAAUUCUGAGGCGACUCUUUAAUCAAAAAGACAGCUCAAAUCAAAUCUGCAAAUCUUGUUGAUUAAAGCAUUUUUUUUAUUAGAGUGGGUUGAUAUUGGCUGAUGUUAGCUAUGAUCUAUAGGUAUCGACAGUUAUUAUGGGAAAUACACAGGAAAAAACAAAGAUAUAUAUACACAUAAAAAAACCACCACCACCAACAACACACACAAAAACGAGACCUGGGAGAAACACCUUUUAACAAUGUUAUUUGAUGGCACUGCACAGUUUGUCCACUAGAUGGCACUCUUCAACUCUGUGUUUGGAAAGCUACAACCGCAGACACCCAAUUCAAACACUGGGAGGCAUAAAACAAGUAAUCUGAUGACAUUAUCUAUAUUUAACAUUCAUAUUAAAACUUCAUUCUACUCCUUUUUCAGCAUGCACAUUGUAGCUAUAGAGACACAUGAAAACUUGAAGUUUUUUCUUCUUUUCUCUUGUUAUUUCAGUUAUAUUUGCAUGUUUGAAUAGAACAUGGGUAAGAUUUACACUCCCACUUUUUCAUAUUUAACUGUGUUUGCUGAAACAAAAGUGUUGCUUUAUUGACUGCAAACUAUACAGCACACAAGUCAUGUAAUUUAUUUGGUUAAUUUGUUUUAAUAUAUUAUGACACACUGUUUUCUAAAUGGUGGUGUGCACAUUUGUUUCACAUUGUCUUGUGAUCGAUUUGCAUAAUUUGCAGUGAAUAUUUUUUCUGUUUUCUUGAAUUAUCAGACUGCUUUUUUCAUUCUUUCCUGGUUUAAGCUAAAGAGAAGGCUGAGGAUGGCGCUGGUUUAAGUGCAGAAGCCCACCAAACAGCUGACUAAUCAGCUGAUCUACUCCAUGGCAGGACUGCCAAGGACAGACUCACAGCCUGAGUUGAAGAGGUAUAGCUUGUUACCAGAGAGACAGAAGGCAGGAGAAUAAACCAGCUGUGCUCUACUAAACCAUCUGAGGUAUACCCUGUCAUGAUUCAUGCCUACUGUCUCGCACCACAAAUGAACCAGCUGCUAAUGGAUGCGACACACAAAGAACAGCUAACUGAAGGCCGGACAUUCCCGAGUCCCAUGGAUCCCCAGAGGAGACUGGUCCCAUCCAACUACCAAAUAUGUUUUCUCACUACCACAUUGAGGCUCCCGUCAGGCAUCAUAGUGGCUAAGGUGAACAGGCUUAUGGCUCGAUACAUGAGUGGAGCCACAGAAAGGAAUUAGCAGGAGCACCACCGGAGGGGCGAAGCACCACCAACUGGUGGACAGAAGAGUCACUCAACAGUGCAAGACCAGACCUACCUGUGGGCUAAGCCUAUGACUCAGUGCCGCACACAUGGAUCCAUGAAUGCCUAGAACUACAAAAGAUCAACAGGACCCUAAGAGCCUCCGUUAGGAACUCCAUGGUGAUGUGGCGAACAUCACUACAGGCCAGCUUCAAGCCAAUAGGAUGAGUCACUAUCAAGAGCAGGAUUUACCAAGGAAAUGCUCUGUUCCCACUGCUGUUCUGCAUAGUCCUGAACCCCUGGACUGGAAUGGACCAAUGCCAACCACCUCCUCUACAUGGAUGACAUCAAGCUGUAUGCCAGGACAAGACAUCGAUUUACUGAUCUACACCAACGGCACUGGAAUGUCUUUCAGGCUGGAGAAGUGUAGUUGGAUGGUAACUACUACUUAGUAGUCAGAACUGAGGGGAUUGCAGACAAGUACUUGGUAAUCCCACGGGCAAAUGGGAGCCACAAAGAGGCUCCAACCACCAAAUACCUGCACACAGUAAAAAGCAAGUCCACAGGACUCAGCUGAAUGGAAAGAACAAGAUGGACCUCAGGUCCUCACUCUGAAAAGGGUGGAGUGCCCAUUCUGGGUCAGGGACGGGAAUGGGAAGUAUCUAGGGGUCUUAUUCACAAGUGAGGGGAGGGGGGAGUGGGAGAUCAACAGACAGGUCAAUAAGCGGUAACCUGUCAGUCACGGUGAAGAGAAAACUGAGCGAAAAAGCCAAACUUUCGAUUUACCGGUCAAUCUACGUCCCCACCCUCACCCUGAAAGAACAAGAUCAUGGAUGAAGUGGUGUAAAUGAGCUUUCUCUGAAAGUUGGCUGGCCUCUCCCUUAGAGACAGGGUAAGGAUUUUAGACGCUGGAUUAUCUCUCUCGGCUGGCCGAGCUGGAGGAGGAGGCUGAGGAGGGGGAGGUCUGCUGCGCCCACGGCCAGGCAGCAGAAGAAGAUGGAUGAAUGGAAAUUCACAAAGUCAUUAGCACUUAGAGCGAUAACUCUGAACCUGUUUUCUUCAAUUAGUAACAGUAAUGUUGUCUUUACCUUACAAUAUAAAGCGCUUUGAGGCGACUUGUUCAGAUGUGACAAUAUAUUCUAUAAAAAUUAAAUUGAAUUAUUGACCUGUUUUAUAGUAAAGUUUCGGUAGCUUCUCUGGAUUGUGUUAGCACAUGGCAGAAGAAAAUGAUAGUAAUUCUAAUUUCUUUCUUAUAUUUAAAUGUUGUAUCGUUACAGCACAUUCAGAUAGAAAUCUGCUAAGAAUUUUUGUUUUGUAUUUCAACCCUGUAAGCUGAAAGAUCUAGAGGUGGUCAGGAGAGAGGAUGUUCAGGGACUUAUUUUAAAUGCUUCUAUGUCUUAAAUCAGGACAAUCGAUAAAAUAAUGAGUGGGUUAAUUUGAGAGAAGAUGACUGAGUGAAUAACUUUCUGUUGAAUGUAGCUUUCCAAACUGAGAUUGGGAGAAACUCGGGCAUGACUGCGAAUGACCUCACAUCAUUCUGAGGUCAUUUUUCAAUAAAACACCAAACUAUGAAACAUUUGUC